UGGUUUGGUUUAAAGGUUCAGUGCGUAACUUUUUUACAAUAAUGAACAUCAGUUACAUUCAAGCAUUGCCAAAUGAGUUGAUACAAAGCUAAUUAAGACUUUCAGCUCCACAAAACUCUCUCUGUAUUUCUCAGCAUGGCUAUGUUUAGAAAUUGGUGCAGUACGGCAACUUUCAUGCGCAAAGAAUCAAGUAAAAAUAAUUACCUCUUCUGAAGAGUUUGUCAUGUUUUUUUUUAUCCU